GUGUCAGCAGCCGCGGUAAUACGGGAGUGGCAAGCGUUAUCCGGAAUUAUUGGGCGUAAAGCGUCCGCAGGCGGCCCUUCAAGUCUGCUGUUAAAAAGUGGAGCUUAACUCCAUCAUGGCAGUGGAAACUGUUGGGCUUGAGUGUGGUAGGGGCAGAGGGAAUUCCCGGUGUAGCGGUGAAAUGCGUAGAUAUCGGGAAGAACACCAGUGGCGAAGGCGCUCUGCUGGGCCAUAACUGACGCUCAUGGACGAAAGCCAGGGGAGCGAAAGGGAUUAGAUACCCCUGUAGUCCUGGCCGUAAACGAUGAACACUAGGUGUCGGGGGAAUCGACCCCCUCGGUGUCGUAGCCAACGCGUUAAGUGUUCCGCCUGGGGAGUACGCACGCAAGUGUGAAACUUAAAGGAAUUGACGGGG
rnacentral:rRNA from 1 species